UUCGGCCCUGAGUAGAGUGGCGAACGGGUGAGUAACACGUGGGUGAUCUACCUUUAAGUGGGGGAUAACGUCCCGAAAGGGACGCUAAUACCGCAUGACGUUCUGGGUUUAAAGACCUGGAAACCAAAGCCGGGGACCGCAAGGCCUGGCGCUUGAAGAGGAGCCCGCGUCCGAUUAGCCAGUUGGCGGGGUAAUGGCCCACCAAGGCAACGAUCGGUAGCCGGCCUGAGAGGGCGGACGGCCACACUGGAACUGAGACACGGUCCAGACUCCUACGGGAGGCAGCAGUGGGGAAUUGUUCACAAUGGGCGCAAGCCUGAUGACGCAACGCCGCGUGGGGGAUGAAGGUCUUCGGAUUGUAAACCCCUGUCGAAUGGGACGAAAGACCCGGGAGCUAAUCAUCCUGGGAGUGACGGUACCGUUAAAGGAAGCCACGGCUAACUCUGUGCCAGCAGCCGCGGUAAUACAGAGGUGGCAAGCGUUGUUCGGAAUUACUGGGCGUAAAGGGCGCGUAGGCGGCCAUCUAAGUCAGACGUGAAAUCCCCCGGCUUAACCUGGGAACUGCGUCUGAUACUGGACGGCUCGAGUAUGGGAGAGGGAUGUAGAAUUCCAGGUGUAGCGGUGAAAUGCGUAGAUAUCUGGAGGAAUACCGGUGGCGAAGGCGGCAUCCUGGACCAUUUACUGACGCUGAGGC
rnacentral:rRNA from 1 species